CGGCCCAGCAAGUCGCUCCUGAAAUCCCAGGGCUCAACCCUGGGGCGGGGGCGAUACUGCCGGGCUAGGGGCGGAAGAGGCCGCCGGUACUCCGGGGGUAGGGGCGAAAUCCGUUAAUCCCGGACGGACCACCAGUGGCGAAAGCGGGCGGCCAGAACGCGCCCGACGGUGAGGGGCGAAAGCCGGGGAGCAAACCGGGCUCAGGUCGGCGUUGAGCAGACAAUCUGAUCAUCCAGCCCAACCACGCGCGUCAAUCCCUCAUCUUUACCAAGCCGACCUGGCCCGGGCUCAAAGGGGAUUAGAUACCCCUGUAGUCCCGGCCGUAAACGAUGCGGGCUAGCUGUCGGCUGGGCUUAGGGCCCGGCCGGUGGCGAAGGGAAACCGUUAAGCCCGCCGCCUGGGGA
rnacentral:rRNA from 1 species